rnacentral:rRNA from 1 species
UACGGAGGGUGCGAGCGUUGCUCGGAAUUACUGGGCGUAAAGGGCGCGUAGGCGGCGUGAUCAGUCAGGCGUGAAAUUCCUGGGCUUAACCUGGGGGCUGCGCUUGAUACGGUCGUGCUAGAGGGCAGAAGAGGGUCGUGGAAUUCCCAGUGUAGAGGUGAAAUUCGUAGAUAUUGGGAAGAACACCGGUGGCGAAGGCGGCGACCUGGUCUGUUACUGACGCUGAGGCGCGAAAGCGUGGGGAGCAAACAGG